GAAAACCACAAUCUGGCUCUGAUGUCAGCACAGUCUAUCGGCUGCAACAUUGUCAACAUUGGAGACGAUGACUUAGAGAAAUGUAAACCCCAUCUUGUCCUGGGACUUUUAUGGCAGGUCAUCAGGAUUGGUCUGUUGAGCGAUAUCAACCUUGCCAACCACCCUGGUCUCAUCAAUCUCUUGGAGGAUGGAGAAACCCCCGAGGACCUGAAGAAGCUGUCUCCUGAACAGAUCCUGAUCCGAUGGGUCAACUAUCAUCUCCGUAAUGCAGGCGUGGAUCGCAGAAUUAGGAAUUUCCAGGAAGACAUCAAGGACUCUGAGGCUUACUGCUACUUAUUGGAGCAAAUUGCUCCAAGAGAGAAUGGUGUGAUGUCUGGCCCACCCCUGUCUGAACAUAACCUGGAGCAGAGAGCCGAACUCAUGCUGCAAGAAGCUGACAAAAUCGGAUGUCGCAGCUUUGUCUCGCCGAAGGACGUCACAUCUGGGAACUACAAGCUCAACAUGGCCUUUGUGGCUAACCUAUUUAACCAGUACCCAGCCCUGGAGCCCCCAGAGGAUAUGGAAAUGGAUGUAGUGGAGGAAACUCGGGAGGAAAAAACAUACAGGAACUGGAUGAACAGUUUGGGGGUACAACCAUAUGUGCAUUACCUGUACUCCGACCUACAAGAUGGUCUGGUCUACUUUAAAUUAUAUGACAUAAUCAGACCUGGGGUAGUCAACUGGAAGAAAGUCAUCCAGAAGUUCAACAAAUUAAAAAUCAACUUUGAAAAAUUAGAAAACUGUAAUUAUGUGGUAGCCUUAGGAAAAGAAUGCAAAUUUUCCUUGGUCGGAAUCAGUGGAGCUGAUAUUAAUGAGGGAAACCCCACCCUUACACUGGGGUUGGUAUGGCAGCUGAUGAGGGCCUACACACUGAGUAUCCUGAGACAGCUGGCUGGAGGCGACUCCCUGAUCAAUGAUGCAGCUAUCAUUGAAUGGGCUAAUGCCAAGUUAAAAGAGGGAGGUAAAAAGAGCAGUUUCAGUGGAUUUAAUGACAGCACCUUGUCUGACGGCAGAACCAUCAUUGAUCUGAUUGACUGCAUCAGGCGAGGAAUGAUCAACUACGACCUUGUGAAGGAUGGGGCAUCAGAGGAGGAGAAGAUGUCCAAUGCCAAGUAUGCCAUCUCCAUGGCCAGAAAAGCAGGAGCUAAGGUGUAUGCACUACCAGAGGACAUUGUUGAUGUUAAACAAAAAAUGAUAAUGACCAUAUUUGCCUGUCUUAUGGCUCGGGAUAUGAGAAGUCAACAGAAUGGCGAGACGUCAUAGAAACCUAACACCCCAAGAUCAACUCACAUUUUUAUGAUUGUACAAAAGACAUCAAAAAAUAGCUUCAGAUUUUUUUCUCUUUCAAAUCAGUAGAUUUCUGGAAGGUGAUAUAUACAUGCAUCUGGAAAUGCUAGAGAGUUUUUUUAGAAUGGUGGUUUGUUAAUCAUACAAAACCAGAGGAAUUAUCACAGGACAUGCAUGUGACAUUAUUUUGUUCUAGUUUAUCUGUUAUGUACUGAACAUGUAUCAAUUUUUUUUUCUUUUCUACUUUUUUUUUAAUUUAUGCAAAUUAUUCAUCUUAGCAAUAAACUAAAUAAAAAGCACAUGCUCAUGUACUUAAUUGUUGGAGGUGUGUUGUAUGAUGGGAAAUGUGGACCAAAAUGACCCAAGCUAUGCAAAAGGGACCAUCUUCGCAGCUACAUAACAGCUUGAAUAGACAUUUUUAAGGGAAGCAGACUUCUUUGAAUUGUUAAUAAUUCUGUUUCGAUGUGUGAACAAUAGAAAGUAUACACUUGGUAUACUUAUGGUACCAUAUUAUCUGUGAUUUUUCAUCACCUUCUUUUAUUACUGAAUUAUCAUGACAUAUUAAAGCAAUCAUAGAGAGAGAUUUUGUGAUGCAUAUACCUGUCUCUGUAGUUUAGAUAAAGCCGUAUACCCGUAGAGAUACUUGUUGAUUAGAUCUGAGUUAUUUACAUCUGAAUGGAUACACCAGAAUGGAUUGUUCCAGAUGGUAAUGCUUCCAAUUUACAUUCCUGUUAGAGUUGGAAAUGUUAUUCAUUUGUUAAGUUUGGGAAAAUAGAUGUCUUCUUGAGAUAUUUUUUGGGACAUUUUUUGACACUGCUUGAUUGAACAUGUUCAGAGGGUUUGGCAUGCUACUGUGUACAAAUAAAAAAAAUGUAUGUGUGAAUCUAUUCAUUUAUAUCAUUUAUAUGAAGUAUUCAUUUUAAACCAUCAAAUAUUUUUUAUCUGUUUAAACAAAUGCUGUUAUUUACAUUAUGCUUGAAUAAAUGAAUAAAUAUUUGAAAAAAU
rnacentral:misc_RNA from 1 species